rnacentral:rRNA from 1 species
GACGAACCGUACGAACGUUAUUCGGAAUUACUGGGCUUAAAGGGUGCGUAGGCUGCGCGGAAAGUUGGGUGUGAAAGCCCUCAGCUCAACUGAGGAACUGCACUCAAAACUACCGUGCUCGAGGGAGACAGAGGUAAGCGGAACUCAAGGUGGAGCGGUGAAAUGCGUUGAUAUCUUGAGGAACACCGGUGGCGAAGGCGGCUUACUGGGUCUUUUCUGACGCUGAGGCACGAAAGCCAAGGUAGCAAACGGG